AGCGAACGCUGGCGGCAGGCUUAACACAUGCAAGUCGAACGGGCAUAGCAAUAUGUCAGCGGCAGACGGGUGAGUAACGCGUGGGAACGUACCUUUUGGUUCGGAACAACACAGGGAAACUUGUGCUAAUACCGGAUAAGCCCUUACGGGGAAAGAUUUAUCGCCGAAAGAUCGGCCCGCGUCUGAUUAGCUAGUUGGUGAGGUAAUGGCUCACCAAGGCGACGAUCAGUAGCUGGUCUGAGAGGAUGAUCAGCCACAUUGGGACUGAGACACGGCCCAAACUCCUACGGGAGGCAGCAGUGGGGAAUAUUGGACAAUGGGCGCAAGCCUGAUCCAGCCAUGCCGCGUGAGUGAUGAAGGCCCUAGGGUUGUAAAAUCCUUUCACCGGUGAAGAUAAUGACUGUAGCCGGAGAAGAAGCCCCGGCUAACUUCGUGCCAGCAGCCGCAGUAA
rnacentral:rRNA from 1 species